UGCCGUAAGAUCCUAACGCGAUCGUUUUAACACAAUCGCAGUCUGGUGAGUCAAAUGAUUCUCAUUUUACAAGAAAAAAACAUGCGGUAUACAAUACAUAUAUACAUAUAUUUACUUACAGAUUUUCCGUUUACAUCUCCUGCUCGCUGGUCUCCCUUAACGCUGGCGGGUCCGUCAACGUCCAUUCCAGGCAGAGGAGAAGGCUUGAUUGCGCCAAAGAACCCAGACAUCGAAAUCUUGCUCCGAGGGGAAAUCAUCGAAAACGACGGUGAAUGUCCGACAGGCACCCGCUUUUGGUAGCACUGGACAAGUGGGAUAUCCUUGCUUGGAUCCUUUUAAAGUUGCCCGAUAAACUACUGAGAGUUGAUCUCUCCUCUUGUCCAAAGGUUUUUUGUUCAUUUUACUUGUAAUACUGCCACUAGGGUUGAUGUAGUAGCUCCACGACAUAACCUUAAAGCCUGUGACUGGAUCCUGUCUAUUUUCCCAAGUCAUGUUUUUGAAGCAGAUUGGUAAAUAAUGCAACCGUAAUCAAUAACAGAUGGAAUUAAAGUGACAAUGCUGGCA